rnacentral:rRNA from 1 species
AAAGUCCCGCAAGGGAUAAGUAGAGUGGCAAACGGGUGAGUAACACGUGGGUGACCUGCCUUCGAGUGGGGGAUAACGUCCCGAAAGGGACGCUAAUACCGCAUAACAUCCUGUUUUUGAACAGAUGGAGAUCAAAGCUGGGGACCCGCAAGGGCCUGGCGCUUGAAGAGGGGCCCGCGUCUGAUUAGCUAGUUGGUGGGGUAACGGCUCACCAAGGCAACGAUCAGUAUCCGGCCUGAGAGGGCGGACGGACACACUGGGACUGAGACACGGCCCAGACUCCUACGGGAGGCAGCAGUGGGGAAUUGUUCGCAAUGGGCGCAAGCCUGACGACGCAACGCCGCGUGGAGGAUGAAGACCUUCGGGUCGUAAACUCCUUUCGAUCGAGACGAACGGCCUCCGGGUGAAUAGCUCGGAGGAAUGACGGUACCGAGAGAAGAAGCCCCGGCUAACUCCGUGCCAGCAGCCGCGGUAAUACGGGGGGGGCAAGCGUUGUUCGGAAUUACUGGGCGUAAAGGGCUCGUAGGUGGCCAACUAAGUCAGACGUGAAAUCCCUCGGCUUAACCGGGGAACUGCGUCUGAUACUGGUUGGCUUGAGUUUGGGAGAGGGAUGCGGAAUUCCAGGUGUAGCGGUGAAAUGCGUAGAUAUCUGGAGGAACACCGGUGGCGAAGGCGGCAUCCUGGACCAACACUGACACUGAGGAGCGAAAGCCAGGGGAGCAAACGGGAUUAGAUACCCCGGUAGUCCUGGCCCUAAACGAUGAAUGCUUGGUGUGGCGGGUAUCGAUCCCUGCCGUGCCGAAGCUAACGCAUUAAGCAUUCCGCCUGGGGAGUACGGUCGCAAGGCUG